GUAAAUGGGAGAUCGGCGCCCCCCGUGUGCACCUGAUGAACUGAUGAAAUGAUGUUGAUGAUAUGGAAAAGAAAAGAGAGAAUGUAAAAUAAAAUAUUGAGAGGACUGGUCAAGUGAGGAUUAGACCGGUCGGCCAGAUAUGGGGGAUUGGCUCCCCGGGUGCACAUGUUUGACAGGAUGAGCUGUUUGAGAGGAUGGCUCGUCAGGGGUUUAGGUGACGCCACUGACUAAUUUCCACGUGAUGUGAUUAUUUGAAGGUGAUAUUGUUUGUGGGUGCUGAUGUAAUGUCAUAUGAUUGACUGUUGUGUGUUCAUUCAGUAUACUAGGGUGCAUUUUGCUUGNNN
rnacentral:lncRNA from 1 species